CCUACGGGGUGCUGCAGUGGGGAAUAUUGGACAAUGGGCGAAAGCCUGAUCCAGCCAUGCCGCGUGUGUGAAGAAGGCCUUCGGGUUGUAAAGCACUUUCAGUGGGGAAGAAAGCCUUGGGGCUAAUACCCUCGAGGAAGGACAUCACCCACAGAAGAAGCACCGGCUAACUCCGUGCCAGCAGCCGCGGUAAUACGGAGGGUGCGAGCGUUAAUCGGAAUUACUGGGCGUAAAGCGCGCGUAGGCGGUCUGAUAAGCCGGUUGUGAAAGCCCCGGGCUCAACCUGGGAACGGCAUCCGGAACUGUCAGGCUAGAGUGCAGGAGAGGAAGGUAGAAUUCCCGGUGUAGCGGUGAAAUGCGUAGAGAUCGGGAGGAAUACCAGUGGCGAAGGCGGCCUUCUGGACUGACACUGACGCUGAGGUGCGAAAGCGUGGGUAGCAAACAGGAUUAGAUACCGUGUAGUC
rnacentral:rRNA from 1 species